rnacentral:sRNA from 1 species
CCCGGCAAUAAAUUACCGGGCUAUUUUCUUCCGUCCCUACGGGACG